UACGGAGGAUGCAAGCGUUAUCCGGAUUCAUUGGGUUUAAAGGGUGCGUAGGCGGGCUAUUAAGUCAGUGGUGAAAUCCUGCAGCUUAACUGCAGAACUGCCGUUGAUACUGAUAGUCUUGAGUUUGGUUAAGGUAGGCGGAAUUUGUGGUGUAGCGGUGAAAUGCUUAGAUAUCACGAGGAACUCCGAUUGCGCAGGCAGCUUACUAAACCACUACUGACGCUCAGGCACGAAGGCGUGGGGAUCAAACAGGAUUAGA
rnacentral:rRNA from 1 species